rnacentral:lncRNA from 1 species
UGGUCAGUGAGGAUGCUAUUUUCGACGAAGAGCUCUUGCCUCACACCAGUAGACACAGGCAGCCAGCUCCUUGGCCUAACUUGAUGGACUCCCUAAACACUUCCUCUUCCUUCCAAGCCUGUGUCUCCCUUCCUCACCCUCACGCCACAGUCUUGGCCAGUCUUGUCAUGGUGAGGCCAUCAGGUGAGAGGAUGUGGUGUGGAGGAUGUGUGCUUCAGGGUCGGGUAGACCCGGCCAUUCAUGCCUGUGGGACUGUGGAUGGUGAAAGCUCACCGACAGGUCACAAGCAUCUGGGAAAUGCCAAACAACAGACUGAAAUAAUGCACAUAAGCUGCGUGGUAUGAAAUUUCUGAAGGGGCAUUCUUCCACAGCCCAAGAGGUGUAUCAGGAAGCUGGCCCUUCAGGGACAGGAACACCUGUGCACCACAUCUCUGCAAUGAUGCGACCUGGUGCCUAUGACACAUCCCUGCACCUUGCUGUGGGGGUAACCAAAAAUGGAGCUGUGGGAGCCAGUGGAGGGCAUGCUGGCAUAUCGGGGGCAGCAGCACCCAGGGCGGCGGUGGGUGGAAUGGAAUCCAGUAUGAAGAUGGUUCUUUCUUUCUCUAACACUUUACUUCAUGCCCUGGUGUCACUUUUCUCAGCAUGGCUUCUCCCUGCACUCCUUGCUUCCAAAUGCUCAGUACUUCCUGUCCACCCAGGUGGUCCCCUGCCAAUCCAAGGCCCCACGAUGCUGAGGUGACAGUUCCCGGGCCUCCGGUACGGAGCUCAUUUUGUUUGCUUUGUGUGUUACUUUUCACCCAGCCCUUCGGUUGCCAAGGAAACAGUGACGCAGCCUCGGGUGGGGCCUCGGCCCAGUCAAUACGGAGCCUUUUGAGGCAAUGGUUCAGGAAGGCCAGCUGGGUGCUGGGGAGGGUGGCAAGGAGGCUCUUGAAGACACCCUGCCCAGGCUGAGGGAAGUUGUUCCAUUUGUCCUCUGAAGAUUUCUGUGCCUCCAUCCCACCUCUCCUUGGUCAGCCCUGCUCCUCAGGCAGAGAAGCAUCAUCUUCACAUUAGCAGUUCAGGCUGUGUGGUUUAAGGGAAAGCACACGUAUCCACGCAUCCGCUCAACAUGUAUUUAUUGA